rnacentral:rRNA from 1 species
CAGUCGCCACGGUAAUACGUAGGGUGCGAGCGUUAAUCGGAAUUACUGGGCGUAAAGCGUGCGCAGGCGGUUGUGUAAGACAGGUGUGAAAUCCCCGGGCUUAACCUGGGAACUGCGCUUGUGACUGCACAGCUAGAGUAUGGCAGAGGGGGGUGGAAUUCCACGUGUAGCAGUGAAAUGCGUAGAGAUGUGGAGGAACACCGAUGGCGAAGGCAGCCCCCUGGGCCAAUACUGACGCUCAUGCACGAAAGCUAGGGGAGCAAACAGGAUUAGAUACCCCCGUAGUCCCUGUCUCUUAUAC